UACGUAGGUGGCAAGCGUUGUUCGGAUUUAUUGGGUUUAAAGGGUGCGUAGGCGGUCUAUUAAGUCAGCGGUGAAAUACUCCAGCUUAACUGGAGGGGUGCCAUUGAUACUGAUGGACUUGAGUCAAGUCGAGGUAGGCGGAAUUGACGGUGUAGCGGUGAAAUGCUUAGAUAUCGUCAAGAACACCAAUAGUGAAGACAGCUUACUGGGCUUAAACUGACGCUGAGGCACGAAAGUGUGGGGAUCAAACAGG
rnacentral:rRNA from 1 species